AACGAACGCUGGCGGCAUGCCUAACACAUGCAAGUCGAACGAGACCUUCGGGUCUAGUGGCGCACGGGUGCGUAACGCGUGAGAACCUGCCCUUAGGUUCGGAAUAACUCCCCGAAAGGGGUGCUAAUACCGGAUAAUGUCUUCGGACCAAAGAUUUAUCGCCUUUGGAUGGGCCCGCGUUGGAUUAGCUAGUUGGUAGGGUAAAAGCCUACCAAGGCGACGAUCCAUAGCUGGUCUGAGAGGAUGAUCAGCCACACUGGGACUGAGACACGGCCCAGACUCCGACGGGAGGCAGCAGUGGGGAAUAUUGGACAAGGGGCGAAAGCCUGAUCCAGCAAUGCCGCGUGAGUGAUGAAGGCCUUAGGGUUGUAAAGCUCUUUUACCCGGGAUGAUAAUGACAGUACCGGGAGAAUAAGCUCCGGCUAACUCCGUG
rnacentral:rRNA from 1 species